UCAUUAUGAAUAACUGUCUUAUCUGUUUUUCUCUUUUUUUCUGUAUUAUCUGUGUCUAUUUGUAUUUUUAUGAGAACUUUAGGGAAAACAUCUGAGACAAAGUUGAUAGUUCAAUGCUAAAUGAGAGCUAUAUUCUCUUGAGUCUCCUGAGCAAUGAAAUGAAAUUAUGUUAAAUUAGAUUAGAAAAGGUCCAAUUCUAGCUAACAAACCAUUAACUACCGUUAACCAUUAACUUUGCUGCUUAUUAAUAGUAAGUAAAGUAGUUGAUGUUAAGUUUAUGCAUUGGGUAGAAUAUGUAGAAUAUGGUCAUGCAGAAUAUGUGUUUUAUAAAUACUAAUAAAUAGCAAAUAUGUUGAUAAUAGGCAUGCUAAUAAGCAACUAUAGUGAGAAUUGUUCCCUAUACUAUAUAAGUGUUAAAAAUAAAAUAUAAUAUAAUAUAAUAUAAUUUGGGAAGAAAAACUUAGAAAAUUGCAUUGUUAAUUAUUAAAUGUGGCAUUAUUAAAUGUCACCAAUUUGCUUUGGGUAAUUUAUUGUGCUAGGAAAAUUUUAUAGAUUUUUAUAUUUGUGACUCAUAAAACCUAAAAAAAAAAAAUGUAUCUAAGAAAUAUCUCACAAUGUGCUAAGAUGGCUUGCAAUCAAAAACACACAAAGAUGAAUAUCACUUUCGAAGUAGCUCUCCCCAACACUGGUAGCACCUUACAUUUGUAUUUGGUAUUAUUCAUUGAAUGAAUGCCUGAAAUGGUUGACUGCUUCACACAUUUCCGAUUUGAAUUUCGAUAUGUUGUCCCACCGACAUCAUGAGAUUUUUAUGGAGUCAUUGCUUUCAGACCUAAAAUAAAAUCUGGUUCAUCUGAGGUACAGCCGAGAGCUGAAAAGUCCAUCCAUAAGUCACUUGUGGUUUGAUAAUGUUUGGUUUGCAAAUUGAUUUUUGAUGGAUGUUCAUUUAAAUACCCUUAAGAGACCUGCUUAUUACAUUCACCAUGCGAGUCCACCACCACAAAGCCAAGACAUACAGCAGGCCUGCAUUUUAUUUUUUCGUCAGAGUCACGGUUGGAAGCCUACUUUGUAAUUUACACCUUUAUUAAAAACAUGCCUUCACUUUUCUACCAGUGAUCCCCUCUCCAACUCUUUUUUUUUUUGUAUCUCAAACAUUUC
rnacentral:lncRNA from 1 species